UGGGGAAUAUUGGACAAUGGGCGAAAGCCUGAUCCAGCCAUGCCGCGUGUGUGAAGAAGGUCUUCGGAUUGUAAAGCACUUUAAGUUGGGAGGAAGGGCAGUAAGCGAAUACCUUGCUGUUUUGACGUUACCGACAGAAUAAGCACCGGCUAACUCUGUGCCAGCAGCCGCGGUAAUACCGAGGGUGCAAGCGUUAAUCGGAAUUACUGGGCGUAAAGCGCGCGUAGGUGGUUCGUUAAGUUGAAUGUGAAAGCCCCGGGCUCAACCUGGGAACUGCAUCCAAAACUGGCGAGCUAGAGUAGGGCAGAGGAUGGUGGAAUUUCCUGUGUAGCGGUGAAAUGCGUAGAUAUAGGAAGGAACACCAGUGGCGAAGGCGACCACCUGGGCUCAUACUGACACUGAGGUGCGAAAGCGUGGGGAGCAAACAGG
rnacentral:rRNA from 1 species